CCUACGGGUGGCAGCAGUGAGGAAUAUUGGUCAAUGGACGAAAGUCUGAACCAGCCAUGUCGCGUGCAGGAUGACGGCUCUAUGAGUUGUAAACUGCUUUUGUACGAGGGUAAACGCAGAUACGCGUACCUGUCUGCAAGUAUCGUACGAAUAAGGAUCGGCUAACUCCGUGCCAGCAGCCGCGGUAAUACGGAGGAUUCAAGCGUUAUCCGGAUUUAUUGGGUUUAAAGGGUGCGUAGGCGGGCGGAUAAGUCAGAGGUGAAAUCCCGAGGCUCAACUGCAGAAUUGCCUGUGAUACUGGUCGGCUAGAGAGUAGUUGCGGUAGGCGGAAUGUAUGGUGUAGCGGUGAAAUGCUUAGAGAUCAUACAGAACACCGAUUGCGAAGGCAGCUUACCAAGCUACUUCUGACAUUGAGGCACGAAAGCGUGGGGAGCAAACAGGAUUAGAGACCCCAGUAGUC
rnacentral:rRNA from 1 species